rnacentral:miRNA from 1 species
CACAGAACAUGCAGUGAGA